rnacentral:lncRNA from 1 species
AUCGACAGUAGCAAAAUGAAGAUAACAUUGUUACUCCUGUUUGUUUUUGCCUUUGCAGUUAUGCUUAUAAAAUCAGAUACCAGUGAAGAACGAAGCAGUAGUGAUGAAAGUAGAAGUUAUGAACGAAGUAGAAGUGAUGAACGAAGUAGAAGUGAUGAACGAAGUAGAAGUGAUGAACGAAGUAGAAGUGAUCGAAGUAGAAGUGAUGAAAGCGGAAGUUAUGAAGAUAGAAGAAAGAAAUAGGUUAUUAAGUCUUUAACAAAUAUGAAAAUGCAAGUUAAAAACAUGAAAGCUUUAACAGAAAUAGGGAAUAUUAAAAUUAAAAAAAAUAAAUUGGAAUUGGGUUAAUCGCAUUUUUAACAUACUGUAUAUUAAAUGAAAUAAAAUAAUUAUGAAUUCAAGC